UGAGUGAUUUUGUGCACCUUACCUUGAAGGACACUGACUUGAAUUUCAGGGUUUUAUUGCCCUUGGUAGGGGAAGAAGUUCUGUGUAAACCUCAAUCACAACAGGCAGCCAGCCCGCUCUGAACCCAGAAACGAGAUAACAGCUCCUGCAACGAUAAACACCUGCAGAUGAAACAACUCCUGCAACGAUAAACACCUGCAGAUGAGACAACUCCUGCAACGAUAAACACCUGCAGAUGAGACAACUCCUGCAAUGAUAAAUACCUGCAGAUGAGACAGCUCCUGCAACGAUAAACACCUGCAGAUGAGACGGCUCCUGCAAGGAUAAACACCUGCAGAUGAGACGGCUCCUGCAACGAUAAACACCUGUAGAUGAGACAGCUCCUGCAACGAUAAACACCUGCAGAUAAGGUGCCGUCGGACAGGCGUCUCGGUGGACCUGCUUGGUUUUUGUUUUGUUUGUUUUUUGUUUUUUGUUUGUUUUUUUGUUUUUUGUUUGUUUGUUUGUUUGUUUGAGACAGAGUCUCCCAGGCUGGAGUGCAGUGGCUUGAUCUCGGCUCACUGCAACCUCCACCUCCCGGGCUCAAGCGAUUCUCCUGCCUCAGCCUCCCGAGUAGCUGGGAUUACAGGCGCCCGCCACCACGCCCAGCUUAAUUUUUGUAUUUUUAGUGGAGACGGGGUUUCACCGUGUUAGCCAGGAUGGUCUCAAUCUCCUGACCUCGUGAUCUGCCUGCCUCAGCCUCCCAAAGCAGGACCUGCCUGUUUUGAGGGGGAUACAAAAAGAACACAAAUCAUCUGUCCUGUAGCAGUUUGCAGCUGGCUAGGAAGAUGAAGC
rnacentral:lncRNA from 1 species